GGCUGCAGUCGAGAAUCUUCGGCAAUGGGCGCAAGCCUGACCGAGCGACGCCGCGUGGAGGAUGAAGGCCUUCGGGUUGUAAACUCCUGUCGAGGGGGAGGAAGGGGAAACCUUGACCGAUCCCUGGAGGAAGCACGGGCUAAGUUCGUGCCAGCAGCCGCGGUAAGACGAACCGUGCGAACGUUAUUCGGAAUCACUGGGCUUAAAGCGCGUGUAGGCGGAUGGGAACGUCGGAUACUGAAAGCCCCCAGCUCAACCGGGGAAGUGGUUCCGAAACGACCUGUCUGGAGGGACGUAGGGGGAUCUGGAACUUCCGGUGGAGCGGUGAAAUGCGUUGAGAUCGGAAGGAACGCCCGUGGCGAAAGCGAGGUCCUGGACGUCUGCUGACGCUGAGACGCGAAAGCUAGGGGAGCAAACGGGAUUAGAUACCCCGGUAGUCCUAGCCGUAAACGAUGGGCACUGGGUAGGGGGCUCGCCGAUGGGCUCUCUGCCGUAGCGAAAGCGUGAAGUGCCCCGCCUGGGGAGUAUGGUCGCAAGGCUGAAACUCAAAGGAAUUGACGGGGGCUCACACA
rnacentral:rRNA from 1 species